GACCUCCUUGUCAAUGGGAGCGCGGGACCGGGCUGCCGGCACGGCGGUCAGGUGGGCCCCCCAGCUCGCUGCCAGCGCGGCCUCUGUCCCUCUCCGGCCGGCUCUCCAUCUUGUCGCCCGCAGCCCGCCUUGUCAGUGGCUCUGCAGCCGCUGGGGCCGCAGAGCCGAGGCCGGGUUACCUCAGGAAACGCGAUGUGGUAGUGGGUCGGAAUAAACCCUCCCGCCCCAGAAUUCGCCUUGGGGGCAUGAGGACAGAUUCGGCCUUUUCGCUUCCUGUGUCCACAUUUAUUGAGCACUUAGUAUGUGGGAGCCGAGGCUGUAAGGAGAGGAACGGAGCGGGCGGAGAAAAGCCAGGGCCUUUUCUCCGGGAGCCGCUGCCUCCAGGGCCAUCGCCGACCCUGCUCCGAGAUCCCAGCCGCCGCUCUCCGUGCAGGAGGGGUGCCCACCCUUGGGGAGGCCUGGGUGCCCUGAGCGGAGGGACAGGGCUUCAAGCGACUGGGAGUUUCCAGCAAACCCCUGAUCCCUGAGCAGUUUAUUUUAAAAGCUUUUGCAAAUGUUGGACGGUUUAGCUUGGUGGAGGCCGUCUUUGCACUAAAUUCUCUUGUCCUCCCCCUUCGAAACACACAAAAUGAAUUUUGAAUAGAUUCUUGGAUGAGAGAUUUUCUUCCUUUUUUCAUCUUCUGAAACAUUUUCCCCUCAUUUCUUCUAAAAAAACCCAGAAACCCGGGUCAGUUACUCGGUGUACAGCUAGUCAAAUACUGAGAAAACUAGUCGAUAUUUGCCAAAGAUUGGGCAUGUUCUGGGUGGUCUCAGAUUUUGAAGAAACAAAUUUUUUACUGCACAAAAUAGUUUUACAAUCAGUUCCAUCAGACAGCCCCAGGGGCUCUCCUAGGGAAAGGGGCCAAUAGGCAAGGUUGCAUGGGGAUAAGAGAGGCAAGCGGCCAGUGGAAAACGUUUUUUUUUUUUUUUUCCUAACAGUUGGGCAUUUCUGUGGCUCUGAAAGCAAACUUGUUUGUUUCAUUUCAACCAUAGAAAAAAAACCACUUCUGUUUUGGAAAUGUAACCCAGCAUAAAAAUACAUUUGCAAUGGGGAAAAAGAAGGCAGUUUAGGGCCACCCAGAAGAAAAUAUUUUUUCCCCUGAUUUUUUUUUUUUUAAUUUGGUAUUUCCCAGUGUGGGUUUGCCUCAUUUUACAAAUAGCUGCCUAUGUCAAGUUGUGGGUAUGUGAUUUAAAUAUUUUAAUUUGAAUCACAUUUUACAUAGUCUAGGAAACUGACAAAGGAAUCCUAUAGAGAAUUGUUUUCUAAAGUGAAUAACUGCUUCUCUAUCUACCCGCCCCCCUCAUUCUUCUUUUCUGUGCGUGUUUUUUGGGGAAUGUUAGGGGAUAAAUCUGGUUUGGCUUAACUAAAACGCAGCCUUUCAAAUCCAAAACAGAGAGCUUAGGUACCCAACAUUCUAUAGAAUGUGUUAUUUCCUCAAGAGAUUGCUAGGAACAGUUAUGUAGAUCUACCAGGUGCAGGGAAGCACUCUACAUCCUCACCCAGGUCCUGUAUCCCUGCAAGACUGCAUUGGAAAGACUGAAGAGGAAGCUGAAGAAUGAUAUGCUCCACCACAAUGAGGGACUAAACAACAAAAAGGAGGCACGGGAUUCAAGAAGGAAAAAAGAGCUGACAAGCCAUAGCAGGACGGCCAUCCCCUGAGAGAUAGGAGAGGAGGAGAAACAGCCCGACAGGGGCCUGGAGCAGCUGGCUGGCGUCAGUAAUUUCCUGCAGGAGACUCUGCCGGCCGAGCACACGUCACCCUUCUGUUGAUCCUCUGUAUUCUCCCUUGUGCUACUAAAAUACGCUAAUGUAACUCCUGGGCUGUGCUGAGCUAAAUGCAGUUAUUUAACUUCAUCGCUAUGGAACCCAGGUCUAAAGCAGCAACAUCUAUUUGGAACAAGGUGGGGAGGAGGAAAAAUAAUCUUCCCUGGAUCUGAGCAACUGUAUUAAGUUUGUGCUUGUCUGACACCUGCAACACAUGCCCCUACCUGGAGAAGAGAGUCUGGAACAAUUGGUCUCCUAGGAUUCCCUGGAAGUCACAGUUACCUGCAUCAAAGUAUCAAGGAGGCCACUUAAUGACAGAAAUGUUAGGAGGAGGAAACUGAGACUUAGCCAGAAAGGCAGCCAAUCAAUGGCAACAUCAAGAUCUGAAAGCUGGAAUUCUGAGAUCAGAGUGCCAGCAUGGUCAGCUUCUGCUGAGGACUGUCUUCAGGGCUGCAGACUGAAGACUUCUCAUUUUAUCCUCACGUGGUGGAAAGAGCAAGAUAACUUUCUGGGGUCUCUUUUAGAAGAACACUAAUUUCGCUCAUUAGGCCUCCUCACUCAUGACUUAAUUAUCUUCAAAGUCCCCACCUCCUAAUACCAUCACAUUGGGGUACGGAUUUCAACACGUAAAUUUUGGUGGGGUUUGGGAGAGGAGCACAAGCAUUUAGUCCAUAAUAGCCACAUAAUGAAAAGAUUUAAAAAAUGAAAUUAUUCAACAGGAACACAGUACAAAUAAUAUGAUAGGACAAAGACUAAAUAUAUUUUAUCUGUUAAUAAAAGUAAAUCUUCAUUAAGAUAAUUUUCAGAAUGAAUCGCAAAGCAAACACAACUCUGUUAUAUGUAAGAGAUACAUCUAAACAAAGAUAUUCACAAAGUUUAAGAGUUAAAGAUACACCAGAGAAAUACAAACAGAAGGAAAGCAGUGAUUGAUAUCUUAAUAUCACACAACAUGGAAUUCAAGACAAAGAUCAAUAAAUAAGGAAGGAAGGGUACCUUUUAAUGUAAAUGAUAUAAAUCAGUUUAAGAUAACAUUUAUGAAUAACUAUAUGCCAAAUAAUAUAGCAUCCACCUUUAUAAAGCAGAAAUUAGACACAAGAAAUAGGCAGAUACCCUAAUAUAAAGGGAAUUUAAUUCACUUUUCUCAGUCUAUUUUAUACCAAGAGGACAAUAAUAAACAAGGAUAUAGAAUACCUAAGUAAUUAAUGAGACAGACAUGAUUAAUCCAUGUAACUAAAGAAUACAGAAUAAGCUUUUUGUUUUUUCAAAAGCUGUGAAAACAUUCAUAGAAAGUGAUCAUAUAUUAAAUCAUAAAUAAAUCUUUAAUAAAUUCCCAAAAUAGAUAUAGUAUGGAUAACACUGAGUAACUAUAAUUCAUUAAAACUAAACACUGAUAACAAAAGAGAAAGCAAAAACUCCUUCCAUCUGGAAAUUAUAAAAGCUCUCUUAAUGCUCAGAGAGGAAAUACAAAUCAAAAUGGAAGAUUGUUUUAGGAAAAAACAGUAAUGAAAGUACUCUUUAUCGGAAUUUGUGGAAUACUAUGGGUUGAGUUGUGUACCCAAAUUCAUAUGUUGAAGUCCUAACCCUCAUUAUCUCAAAAUGUAUUAUUUGGAGAUAAGGUCUUUACAGAGGUAAUUGAGUUAAAAUGAAGUCAUUAGAAGGGGUGUCCUUACCAAAUAGGACUGGUAUCCUCAUAAAAAAGGGGAAAUUUGGACACAGAUACACACAUAUAGGGAGAAGACUAUGUGAAGAGAAGGCAAGAUCAGGGUGAUGCUUCUACAAGCCAAGGACUGACAAAGAUUGCCAGCAAACCACCAGAAGCUGGGGGAGAGGCAUGGGGCAGAUUCUUCUUAACAGCCCUCAGAGGGAACCAACCCUAAUCAUGCCUUGACCUUGUACUUCCAGCUCUCAGAAAACUGCGAGUCUUGAACUGGGUUUAAGAUACCUGGUUUGUGGUACUUCGCUAUGGCAGCCUUAGAAAACUACUACACAGAUAAAGCAGUGUACAGAGAAAAAAAAAUCAUAGCUUAAAUAGCAAAAGAAAAAAUAAAAUGAGUUAAGCAUUAUGCUCAAAAAGUUAGAAACAAUAUACCAAAAUAUAUUGAAGGACUCUAGAAGGAAGGUAUCAAUAGUGAUAAAAGUGGGAAUUAACAAAUUAGAAAACAGAUUAACAGUGCUAGUAAAUCAAUCCCAGCUCUAGUUCUUUGAACCAAUGAAAUACAUAAAUCAUUAGAUAACAUAAUUAAGAAAUAACUGUCAAAAUGUAAACACACAAAUGAGAACUUGAAAGGGCGAAACAAUGAAGAAACAGAGAAAAAUUUUAAAAAAUUAAAAGAAACCACUUGGUUCUACUUUAAGCAGAUGAAUGUAAAAAUCUAGAUGAUAUAGAUAUUUUUCUAGAAAAAUAUAAUUUAUCAAUACUAACUUUAGAAGAAGUAAAUUACCUAAAUAAACUGAAUUGAAAAAAAUAAUCAAAGAGCUACUUUCCCAAAAAAGCACCAGGUAUUGAUGAUGUCUUACUUUAUUUUGUGUUGCUAUAACCGAAUACCUGAGGCCGGGCAAUUGAGAAAGAAAACAGAUUUGUUUCUUACUAUUCUGGAGUCUGGGAAGUCCAAGACUGGGAGGCUGCUCCUGAUCAGCUUCUGAUGAGGGCCUCAUGCUGUGUCAUAACAUGGUAGAAGGCAUUGCAGGAUGAGAGGGACACAAAAGCCAAACUAGCUUUUAUAACAGACCCACUCUCAUGAUGACUAAUGCAUUCCAGUAAUAAUCCAUUAAUUCAUUAACCCAUUAAUCCACCAGUAGAUUAAUCUAUUCAUGAGGGUAGAGCCCUCAUGACCCAAUUGCCUCUUAAAGACCCCACCACUUAAUAGUGUUACAUUGGGUCAUAAAUUUUAAUGUGAGUUUUGAAGGGAACAAGGAAAAACUCUAUAAAGCUUUCAAAGAGCAGAUAGUUCUAGCUUUGAUUAAAAAAAACACUUAAUAAAAUAGAUAUAGAUGGUUACUUUCUUAACGUGAUAAAAUAUAUCUCUCUCAACCUAAAAGCCAAAAUCAUCAUUACUCAGGAAUUUGUAACAUUCUAAUUAGAAACAAGAGCAAGGCAAAAAUGCUCACGUUAUUGAAAAUUGUACUGGAGAAAUUAUCCAAUUUAAAUAGACGAGAGAAAGAAAUUGACAGUAAAAAAAAAUCGAAAAGUGGGACGUAAAACUAUUACUAUUUGCAGAUCUUAUGACUGUAUAUCUGGAAAACUCAAGAGAAUUAACUAAAAAAAAUUACAAACAAGAUAAUUUAGUAUGGUGGCAGGAUUCAAAACUAUAGAAAUCAAUACUUUUGCAUAUGCAAAUAACAGCCAGUUAGAAAAUAUAAUGGAGAAAUUACCCUAUUACAGUGGCCAUGCAUAUAUAAAGACAUAACACCAGGAAUAAACUUAAUAAAAAAUGUGCAAUACAUAUAGGAACAAAAACUUUUAAAUCCCCAAAGAUACAAAAGAAGACUUGAGAAAAUGGAAUAACUACACACUUGGAUAGAAAAACUCAUAAUAAUAAAAUGUCAUUUCUUAUUAACUUAUUUUUACAACUAACAUAAUAGUAUACACAGGGUUUUGUUUUUAAUUAGAUAAGAUCAUUCCAAAGUUCACUUGAAAAAAUAAACUAGAAUGGUAAGAAGGAUACUUGCAAAUAAAAGAAAUGGCUAGCCUAACCAGAUAAAAAAAACAUACUAUAAAGCCUCAAAAACUAAAGCAAGGUAGUUGUGGUGAAUGAAUAGCGCUGCCCAUGAAACAACAUAGAAAAUCCGGAAAUAGGUCCAACUACUAUGGUAAUUCAGAAUAUGAUAAAGAAGAUACCCCAAAUUAUAGGACAAUUCAGUAAAUGAUGUUGGAAUAACUGCAUAGCCAUUUGGAAAUAUUUCAAAAGUGUCAAACAUUUAAAUGCGAAAUAUGAAACCAUAAAAGUAUACAAUGGAAA